GCCCGGGUGGUGGAAUUGGUAGACACGUUGGACUUAAAAUCCAAUGGCUGAAUAAGCCGUGCCGGUUCAAGUCCGGCUCCGGGCAC
rnacentral:tRNA from 1 species